rnacentral:rRNA from 1 species
GGCAACACAAAGUUCGGUACCGUACUGGAAUUGCUGCAGUGGAAAGCAGAGAAUACUGUGGCUGACAAAGGAUUUGAGAAGCUACUGAAAAUAUUGAAGAAGAAGCUUCCAAAGGAUAACGAAUUGCCCGACAGUACAUACGCAGCAAAGAAGGUUGUAUACCCUCUAGGAUUGGAGGUGGAGAAGAUACAUGCAUGCCCUAAUGACUGCAUCCUCUACCACGGUGCAUACAAGGAUCUGAACGCAUGCCCGGUAUGCGGUGCAUUGCGGUAUAAGAUCAGACGAGAUGACCCUGGUGAUGUUGACGGCGAGCCCCCCAGGAAGAGGGUUCCUGCGAAGGUGAUGUGGUAUGCUCCUAUAAUACCACGGUUGAAACGUCUGUUCAGAAACGAAGAGCAUGCCAAGUUGAUGCGAUGGCACAGUGAGAACCGAAAGAAAGAUGGGAAGUUGAGAGCACCGCUGACGGGUCGCAGUGGAGAAAGAUCGAGAGAAAGUACUGGGAUGAGUUUGCAAAGGACACAAGGAAUGUAUGGUUUGCUUUAA